AUUGAACGCUGGCGGCAGGCCUAACACAUGCAAGUCGAACGAGUGGCGGACGGGUGAGUAAUGUCUGGGAAACGGCCCGAUGGAGGGGGCUAACUAAUGGAAACGGUAGCUAAUACCGCAUACCAUCGGAUGUGCCCAGAUGGGAUUAGCUAGUUGGUGGGGUAACGGCUCACCAAGGCGACGAUCCCUAGCUGGUCUUAGAGGAUGACCAGCCACACUGUAACUGAGACACGGUCCAGACUCCUACGUGAGGCAGCAGUGGGGAAUAUUGCACAAUGGGCGCAAGCCUGAUGCAGCCAUGCCGCGUGUAUGAAGAAGGCCUUCGGGUUGUAAAGUACUUUCAGCGGGGAGGCGUUACCCGCAGAAGAAGCACCGGCUAACUCCGUGCCAGCAGCCGCGGUAAUAC
rnacentral:rRNA from 1 species